rnacentral:rRNA from 1 species
GUGGCGAACGGGUGAGUAACGCGUAAGCAAUCUACCCCUAAGACGAGGAUAACAGUUGGAAACGACUGCUAAGACUGGAUAGUAGACAAGAAGGCAUCUUCUUGUUUUUAAAAGACCUAUUAAUAGGUAUGCUUAGGGAGGAGCUUGCGUCACAUUAGUUAGUUGGUGGGGUAAAGGCCUACCAAGACUAUGAUGUGUAGCCGGGCUGAGAGGUUGAACGGCCACAUUGGGACUGAGACACGGCCCAAACUCCUACGGGAGGCAGCAGUAGGGAAUUUUCGGCAAUGGAGGAAACUCUGACCGAGCAACGCCGCGUGAACGAUGAAGUAUUUCGGUACGUAAAGUUCUUUUAUUAGGGAAGAAUAAAUGAUGGAAAAAUCAUUCUGACGGUACCUAAUGAAUAAGCCCCGGCUAACUAUGUGCCAGCAGCCGCGGUAAUACAUAGGGGGCAAGCGUUAUCCGGAAUUAUUGGGCGUAAAGGGUGCGUAGGCUGUUAAAUAAGUUUAUGGUCUAAGUGCAAUGCUCAACAUUGUGAUGCUAUAAAAACUGUUUAGCUAGAGUAAGAUAGAGGCAAGUGGAAUUCCAUGUGUAGUGGUAAAAUGCGUAAAUAUAUGGAGGAACACCAGUAGCGAAGGCGGCUUGCUGGGUCUUUACUGACGCUGAGGCACGAAAGCGUGGGGAGCAAACAGGAUUAGAUACCCUGGUAGUCCACGCCGUAAACGAUGAGUACUAAACAUUGGGUAAAACCAGUGUUGAAGUUAACACAUUAAGUACUCCGCCUGAGUAGUACGUACGCAAGUAUGAAACUUAAAGGAAUUGACGGGACUCCGCACAAGCGGUGGAUCAUGUUGUUUAAUUCGAAGGUACCCGAAAAACCUCACCAGGUCUUGACAUGCUUCUGCAAAGCUGUAGAAACACAGUGGAGGUUAUCAGUUGCACAGGUGGUGCAUGGUUGUCGUCAGCUCGUGUCGUGAGAUGUUGGGUUAAGUCCCGCAACGAGCGCAACCCUUAUUGUUAGUUGCCAGCACGUAAUGGUGGGGACUUUAGCAAGACUGCCAGUGAUAAAUUGGAGGAAGGUGGGGACGACGUCAAAUCAUCAUGCCCCUUAUGACCUGGGCUACAAACGUGAUACAAUGGCUGUUACAAAGGGUAGCUGAAACGCAAGUUUUUGGCGAAUCUCAAAAAAACAGUCUCAGUUCGGAUUGAAGUCUGCAACUCGACUUCAUGAAGUUGGAAUCGCUAGUAAUCGCGAAUCAGCAUGUCGCGGUGAAUACGUUCUCGGGGUUUGUACACACCGCCCGUCAAACCACGAAAGUUGGCAAUACCCAAAACCGGUGGCCUAACUUCGCAAGAAGAGGGAACCGUCUAAGGUAGGGUCGAUGAUUGGGGUUAAGUCGUAACAAGGUAUCCCUACCGGAAGGUGGGGAUGGAU